rnacentral:rRNA from 1 species
CACGUAGGGGCGAGCGUUGUCCGGAAUUAUUGGGCGUAAAGAGCGCGCAGGUGGUUGAUUAAGUCUGAUGUGAAAGCCCACGGCUUAACCGUGGAGGGUCAUUGGAAACUGGUCGACUUGAGUGCAGAAGAGGGAAGUGGAAUUCCAUGUGUAGCGGUGAAAUGCGUAGAGAUAUGGAGGAACACCAGUGGCGAAGGCGGCUUCCUGGUCUGUAACUGACACUGAGGCGCGAAAGCGUGGGGAGCAAACAGGAUUAGAUACCCU